CAGGUGACCUCUUCUGGAGUCGGCCCGCCAAGUGGUGAGGCUGUGGGCCAGGUGCUCGGGGUGGCCCUGGGCCUGGGUCUGCUGCUGACCCUCCUCCUGAUCGGAGUCCUUGCUGCCAGUGUCUACAUGGUGCACAGGAAAAGGCAACAGAGUAAACAAAGUAGUGAGGAUGGCGAGUCUGUGAUGCAGAGCGGGCAGGCUCCAGUUUAUGAAAACACAAACCAGCUGG